rnacentral:lncRNA from 1 species
AGAUUGUAACCCGCGAGAGGCGAAAAUCCAGAGUUUGGAUGGCCACUCAAAUGGUGGUGGGAUAGAGUCCUGCCACCAUCCAGUCUCCCGUACAAUCCACCGGAGCCGGCGCCGCUGCUAGCAGCUUCCAUUGACGUGAAGCUCAAGGUAGGGUUUCUAGCAGUCUCUUGUAUCAAUGCAUCACAGAAAGCCCUGUGUGUAAUGUAACUAUCGCGUCUGGAAAAGAAAAAGCCCAAACAUUUUUUAGCUUAUUGGAUUAUAUAUAUGUAUAUGUAUUUUGCAAACUAUAUAUUAUGUAAAUGUUGCAUAAUCAUCAUUAAUGAAUGCUAUAGUUAUAAUGGCUACCAUUUAUAGGAGAGAAUGAUAGAAGAAUAUAAAGGUCGAGUUAAUUGCUACUUUAAUGAAAGACCUUCUUCAUUUAAUAUGUUGCAUAUGUUGACGUGAAUCAUCAUCAAUGAAUGCUAUAGUUAUUAAUUAUGGUUACUAUUUAUAUAUAGGAGAGAAUAUUAGAAGAACAUAAAGCUCGAGUCACUUGCUACUUUAAUGAAAGACCUUCUUCAUUUAAUGCAAAGCCCAUGAAUGUUAAUAUAAGUCAGUCACAUUCUACAACAACGUAUUUAACUCAAACCAUGAAAAUAAAGAAAGAAACCCUAGAACAGCAUUAAAGUGUUUAGCAGAACACUAUAAUGAAAUAAGUAACGCACUUUAACCAAACAUAUAUGUAUCUAUGUAUGCAUGUGUCUAGAGAGAGAAAGAGAUAAGACAGGGUCCACAAAAGAAGAGGAGUUUCAUAAAAAGGGGAACCUGCAAAAGUGAAGAAGAAGAAAACAAAAGUGGAAAAUGAAAAAACAGAUCUAACUCAUACAUGUGACCAAAUUUAGCAUCUUUUAAAUUUUCUCUCUUUCUCUUCACUGUGUUUCUCUAUUCAGUACUCAUCAACAACCAAACAAAUACAGUGAUAGAUCCUAUGUACAUAAUCACAAUAUACAUUUUAUGGGCGAUGUACUCGAGGUUCAAAUUCCAUGGCCAAAAAUAUAUACGAUUUCAGUUACAGUUCAUAUUAUAUAUUUGGUAUAUUUCAUGUAAAAUUAGUAAAAAAUGUAAGUUUUAUAUGCAGUGUUGAAUGCAGCUUUUUACUUAAAAUAGAUUUUCAAUACCAAAAGAAAUGAUGGUCCAUGGUAUCAUACUUUACCUAGAUUAUCUAGAUACUACAGACAUAUAUAUUAUAUAUACGUUUCAUCACUUAAUUAGCCCAAAUACGAACAAAUUAUUUAAAUGAAAUGGACAGAUACUAGUUACCUAGAGAAGAUGGUACCACAGUCACAUCGAUACUCUUUAGUACCACAGGUCUUAGAGUGAGCUUUCCAAUCCGAUUGAACAGCGUAACGCUUAGAACAUUUAUCGCACUUCCACUUCUUUUCUCCAUGUUUACGGUAAUAGUGCUUCUUAAUUCCGGUGAGGUCUCCGAGAGCACGUGAGGGGUCAUGGUGGACGCACGUGGGUUCCGGACAAAGAUAGACUUUCCUCUUUACUUCUUUGGUUGACUUCUGUUUGAGUUUCCAUGGGAGAUUGUGUCCUCUUCGGUGAAGCUGUAGGUUUUGUUCUCUUUGAAACCCUUUCUUGCAUACAUCGCAUAUGAACCUGUUUGUAGCCAUUAUUGUCUUUGGAGAUAAAGCUACCACUUCCGCAUCAGGAUCUAUUUGAUAAAUUAAAUUUAGUCACCAUUCAAGAUCUUGCAAUGUUAAUCUAUGAGGAGUAAAUCAAGAAAUUGAUAAAAGAAAAAAACGGUAAAGAACAAAGUACAAACUACAAAACUUUCAAAGUUCAAGAUAAAAUAUCACAAUGAAUCAAUAAGAAUCAACAGCAAGAAUAACAUAAUCACAUAUAGCGACAAAGCAAGCCAGAGCAAGGCACGACAAGAAGAUAGCACAUGAGAAAAAGAUCAAGCAAGGCACAACAAGAACAACAUAAUCACUUCAAGAUCAAGUCAAAGUCGAACAAAAAUCAUGUCGAACUUGAACAAAAAACAUAAACAAACUCGAACAAAAAAGAUGAAUAGAACACAAUUUCGAACAACAAACAACAAGAAUAAACUCGAACAACAAACACAUCAAGAUCAAGUUAAACGCAAAAAAAAAAAAAAAUCUCAAAAAAUUAGAGAUUUGGGUUAUUCGAGAUCGAUUUCUAGACGCCUCUGGUGGAGGAGAAUACUUUCAGUUUGAUAUCUGCGUGAUUUUUGGAUUUAUGGUUAAUAAAUCCAAUUUUACUUUCUCAAUCGUCGAGAUAUUCAGGGGAAUAGAAACAUUGAAGUAUACAAGGGAAAGUGUGAAGUGGGGCAUCGGGUUUCAAGAGUCAUUAAGUCUAAUAAUUUUCCAGAAAUACCCGCUCGGGUCCCGGGCUGGUUAUAGACCCAAAUCUGCUACUCACAGGUCCCUCAUCGUUAAUUAGACCCAAUAGAGUAAAAUUCUCGGUUCCGGUUUUGGACCUGAACCUGCAUUUUUGGUUCGGUUCUGAAUCGGGUCCUCGGAUCCGAGUAAAAUGCCCAGGCUUAAUGAGAGAUUUCACAAUCCGAAUUCAGACAGAAAUUUAGUUUCAAAAAUUUAAAACUCACCAUCUAUAUCCAAACAUAGACUUCUAAAUUUUACUUUUUUGUACUUAUUUCAAAUCAAAUCAGAUGAUAGAUGAUGCCAGAUUAUGAUUUCAUGAUAUAUAGUAGGAAUGUCUAAUCAACAAAUAAAUCAUCAUUUAAAGCGAUUCCCUUGUUACAUAUACAAAAUAUAUGUCACUGAUUUUUGAAAUUCACUACACCCGCAAUCAAUGUUUUAAAUAUUUCAGUAAACUUAUAUGCGGAUUUGGAAUAACCAACCAAAUGGCCAAAUGGUUCAAAAGAUAUAGAUCUAGUUUAUACAUAUAUAGAAAUCAUUAGUUAUUAAUUAUAAUACAUGAUAAUGAAUAAUACGGAGAUAUUGGAUGCUUCUGUUUGGACUAUACUUUAUAUUGGAAUAUAACCGCUACGAUUGGCGUAUUAUUAUUCACGUCGAAUAUGCUCAUAUAUUUUCCAUGUGCAACGUGGGAUGUGUAAUCUAGUUUAUAAAUCAAAUCUAGUAUUUAUACAUCGUAAGUAUGCAUUUGUAUAAUAUUCAGACACUAACAAAUAUUUUUCUUCGUUUUUUAGUAUACUAGAUCCUAACCCGUUUUAGGGAGAAACAAAUUUAUAAACGUAAAAGUCUGAAUGUUAUUACAUAUUUUUUUCGGUGUAAAUAAUUUUAUUAUAUAUAUUAUUAUUUAAAUAAAUUUUAAGUUAAUUUGUAUAUAGUGGAAUUUAUUUAUAUGAGAUACUAUAAUAAUGAACAAGACAUACAUAAUCAUAGGUUGAAUUUCUCAUUUAUUAAUAUUAUUUUAAAUAUAAAAAUGAUCUUAUAUAGAGUGUACUUUGACUUCCAUUUACAAGUUUAUAAAUUAUAUAAUAUUUAUGUAAUAUACUAGCUAAUAUAAUACAUAUAUUUUAACAUCCGUUAUAUUUUAAAAUUUAUCAUAAUUAGAUGUGGAGGUUUUAUCUGUUUAUGGGGUUGUGUUAUUUUAUUUUAUAUGAUUUUAGUAUAUCUUUUUAUCAAAACGAAGUUAGUAUACAUUUUGAAUAUUCUAAGUAAGUAAUCUAGAGUACAUAUAUGGUUAUGGAACUAGCCGUAUUUAAAAGUUUGUAUUUAUUUUAUGGAUUUUGAAAACCAAAGAAUCAAUAUAGAAAGUUGGUACGUAACAUGGUUAGAUUCUAAUAUAUAUAUAUAUAAAUAUAAGUGUAGAAAUGUAUCAAUUGAUUUACAAAUUUAUUUCAAGAAAACUAUCUAAUAUAGUCUAAAAUAUGCAAUUUUUUUUCUUGAAUAUCAUAUUAAAAAUAGGGAAAAAUAUUAAUUAUAAACUUAAAAAAGAAACUUUUUCAAUAAGUUUUGAACUAUUACCUUCUGAACGAAUGUGUACUUUGAAAAUGUGAGAGCUGUGAGGAUCCGUGUUGAGAUUUCAUGGUUAUCACGUUCAGAACCUAUAAGGUUUUGGGCAAAAAAAAAAACCUAUAAAGGUAAUUCACAAGAACGUUAAUUUAAAUAUCCACAUAUGAAUUAUACGAUUUUUUGGCCAAAAUAACUUCUUUUUUGGCCAAAUAACUUGUUCAUAUUAAAAUUCUUUGAAGUUUGUACCAACUUUUCUCCAAAUAACCGCAUCAUACCUCUUCAUCCAUUCCGUUUAACCCACUUUUUUAUAAAAUAUUGUUUGUCAAAAUGCAGAAUAAAAGUUGGCAUAUAAUUAAGAAAGUUGCAGAAGCAAUAAAUUGGCAUAAAAUUAAGCUAAUCGUUUAUAUUCAAACCAUAAUAGUUUAUACUAUUCAGUUAUAAACAACAAAUUAAGUAGCAAACUUCUAUAUAACAACUUAACAAAAGACAUAACCUAAUGAUGAGAGUCUCAAACUUAAUAGAGUUCAGUGAAAGAUCUAUUAUAUGUAGACUAUGAUUAUGAAAGCAAGAAAGGAAGAUAGCAAAAUUAUCACCUAACUAGUUAUAGGUGAGUAGGUUACAAUAAUAAGAUAUUUUCAAGAUCUUCCAAAUGGAUGAUUUUGCUCCGAAAACUUCAGUUCACCAACGUCGCCUCCACGACCACGGCCGCGAUUUACAUUUCUAACCAUUCCUCCAACUCCAAGAAAAUCUAACGUUAACUUGUCCGAGCCGCUCAUAUUUCCAUUGUUUCCGAAAUGAACAUCGAAUAUAUUGCCACCGGAUCCGCCGGCACCACCGCCAUUUACUGCGACUAGUGAGUUCAUUAGACCUUGAAGAUUACCGUUAUUAUCGUUCCCCAUAAUCUGCCCUCCUCCAAAAUCAUUACUUGACGAAGAAGCUAAGCCUCUGAAUAAAGCAGAAGGAUCGUUGCUUGUGAUGGAACCCAUUUGAGUAGCUUUCUGAAGCAGUGCCGUGGCUGACACGUUAGAACCCACGUUCAAGCUUUCUUCAGGGUGAUGAACAAGAACGUCGGAGCUAUAUAGAGAAGGAAGACUCGUCUCUGAGUUCUUGAUGUUUUCUUGAAAGAAUCCGAGGUUGAAGAAGCUGUUGUUGGUGCUACUUUUGGAGUUUAUGUUGUUGACCGGAUCAAACUGGUUUAGACCUUGAUGGUUCAUGAAACUCUGAUCGUUGUUGUUCGGUACAGUCAGCAUUCCUUGGCUCGAUUGGAUUAAGAAGUUAGGGUUUGACGUCUGCGGAACAAAGUGUCUGCUAUUUUCAGAAGAUGCAAUGUUUAGAUUGUAACCCGCGAGAGGCGAAAAUCCAGAGUUUGGAUGGCCACUCAAAUGGUGGUGGGAUAGAGUCCUGCCACCAUCCAGUCUCCCGUACAAUCCACCGGAGCCGGCGCCGCUGCUAGCAGCUUCCAUUGACGUGAAGCUCAAGGUAGGGUUUCUAGCAGUCUCUUGUAUCAAUGCAUCACAGAAAGCCCUGUGUGUAAUGUAACUAUCGCGUCUGGAAAAGAAAAAGCCCAAACAUUUUUUAGCUUAUUGGAUUAUAUAUAUGUAUAUGUAUUUUGCAAACUAUAUAUUAUGUAAAUGUUGCAUAAUCAUCAUUAAUGAAUGCUAUAGUUAUAAUGGCUACCAUUUAUAGGAGAGAAUGAUAGAAG